rnacentral:lncRNA from 1 species
GGGGAUUGCUGAGUCAAAGGAUAUGAACACUUUCAUGGUUUUUGACGCAAAAGUGAAUAUUUUUUACAUUUCAGAAAAAGUUUGCCUAGAUGUCAAGUUUAAAGGAAAUGUCAGUCUUUAAUGGUGAGAGCCUUGAGUCACUCCUUCCUGACUAAAUUUCUGUCAUUUGGCCCUGCCUAUAUAGGUCCAAUUGCUGCUUGUUGCUCAUCUAGAACACCUGGGGAUGGGAAGAACUGCCUGAGGCCACGGUAGUUGACUGUGCUGGGUUUUUGCUGUCCCAGGAAUGGAGCUCCAGGGUGUGGUAGGAUUGUCACAAAGAAAAGGGAACACUGUGGAAGAGACUGGACGCAUCAGGAGGGGCUUUCAAAACAUCAAGUUCUCUCUACCCUCAGCCAGAUUCAGCAUCUCAUUAAGGUUCUCUAGGUAUGUCACUGUCUUCAUGAUUGCCAUUGAAGAAAAUAUUCUCUUGGAAAACAUAAGGUCGUGCAGAAUUUCUAACAGUGAAAUCUCAUUGGUCAUAUCCUAUUCUGAUGCCUCAUGGAGUUUGUCAUUUUUGGAGCUGCUAUAUUGACCAAUACAGACGUACCUGUAUUAGGCACUUUGGAAUUCAGCUGCAUUCUUCUACUUUCAACAAGUUACCUUCCUACCACUUCCAUUUGGGUGGAGCCAGAAGGAAGAAACGCCCAAACAGAUCUUCAGGAUCCACCCUCCCCAAUAGGUUCUCACGGCAGAGAUGCGCCUGGCAGGAGCUUCAACCCCAAGGCCACCCGCCGCCGCGGGUUCCCAAACCCGGAUAGGGCCCUAAUGGGAAAGCAGCCUGGGUUCGCCUCGGCCCAGCCUCCGCCAAGUCUUCGGGAUCUGACGACCCACAACAGCGCGAGGGCGGAGGGACCGGAGGAAGCAGAGGAAGAGGAGGAAGAGGAAUUGCUUUUGUCGAGGCUCCGCCCGGCGCUAGCCAGGCCUCGUGGAGCCUCCGGGGCUCGGGGUCCCCAGGGGGCGUGGCCUCAGGGGCGGAAGCGGAGCGCGGGCGGGGGCUCAGGCAGCGCGCGGCGCGGGGGAGGGUCGGAGCCUCACCGGGCGGGGCGGGGCCGCAGGGCCUCCCCAGAGCGGGCGGCGGAGCUGCACUAGUCCGCGCGCGGUAGGGCGGAGACCCCGUACCCGAGGAGAAGGCAAAUUCUUAAGAAGGUCUCCAGUUCUGCCCAUCCUGCCCCACAGUGUAAGUGACCAGUGCGGGUCGCCAGCCCGAGAGCCGGCAAUCAGGGUAGCUUCUGUUUUCAUUUUCACUUUCCCGCCCACGCCUCAGACUUGGAGCGGAGCAAGGCGUGGGGGCCAGCCCUGGUGUCACCGCCUCCGCCGCCAGGCUGGUCCCCUACCGGCGGCAGGCGAGGGCACAGGGGCAGUGGUGUGGGGGUUAGGUGCUCUGCAGGGUGCACUCUCCAAAAUGCUACCCUGCCCCGAGAUUUCCGCCAUCGAAGCAGUCCAGGAUAAAAUGCAAAUAUACUGGGGUCUUAAUUAGUAACUGAAGUGUUUCUGGCCCCCAGCUAUCUAAAAAUAUUCUUCUGGUUUAAGAGAUUAAGUGCCUUUUUCUUCUUUUUCUUUCUAGUGGAAAACUGGACGCUGAGAAGUACACGCCAGAUUUGGCGGCCAGGCUAGUCUGAGAGCUAUAGGACAUGGAGCACCCCCAGGGGAAGCAAGACAGGAUUCUCUCUCCCUCCUAGAUGUGAAUGUGUGACAUAGCUCCGCUCUCAACUCCUCUUUGCAGAUGAUUUGUGUUGUCAGAUAAUUCAAUCUUUCUAGUUUUGUGACAGCUUCUUAACUGAAUUCCUCCACUUUUAGUUCAGCUUAAGCCUUGAUUGUGUCAUCUACCCCAAUGCUAGACGAAAGAGUUAAAGGACCAAAAGAGAGUAAGCCUUUUAAAGAAAGAAAAGAGCUAUAUAAUUGCCUAAGUAAAGCAUACUUCAGCUUUCAUAACUGCAAAAUACGUUCAGUUUAACCAACCAAAUUUUGUGCUGGACCCUGGGAUAACACAUAUGUACUAUAGAUACUCUAGUAGGGAAGAUAGAUGAAUAGAAAGACAACUAUAAGUCAGUGUUAUACCUUUAAUAAUAAGAGCACAUACUAGGUACAAAAGUGGCUAACUGAAGGAGUGACUAAUUCUAUGAGGUAUCUGGGGACAGGGGUAUAAGAAAAAGGUUUCAGCCAGGAAUGAUGCCCAUCAGAGGGGGUGUUUGAAGCAUUAGCAGGAAUGGUUAAAAAAAAAAAAAGCUCAUGAGGUAGAUAGUAAUAAAUGACUACGAAAUACUGAUUGACAACACAGAAGAAAGUAAACUGUAAAGAGGUGAAUUCUCUUAAUUUUAAAUUAUCAGCAAAGAGAUUAGUUGAAAAAUGGGGUGAAGGAAUAAAGAACUCCUUUUAGUCAAGUCUUAAAAGUUACAGAAGUAAAAUAACGCUUCCAUAAUUCCCACUCCAGUAAAGACCAGUGUUGUUACAUUGGUGUAUGUUCCUCCAGGGUGUGUAUUCAUGACUGACCUAGUUUUCUGUAGAAAUGGAAUCUUCAUACACUGGAGGUGGUGUAGGAAAGUGGUUGCAUGUGCUGGCUUAGGCAGUCUGGUCUGGAGUGCAGGGUCCACUCCUUCCCAGUUCUGUCAUCUUGGGAAGUCAUUUCUCUUCACCUCAGUUUCCUCCUCUGCAGAAUAGGGCUAUAACUGUGUCACUUGUCGGUUGAGAUUUUAAAUGUCAGCAGAGACGUUUUGUGCAUGGAAAGGAACCCAUAAAGUGGCUUUUGUUUUAAUUGAUAUUUAAUUUAUUAGGAGUGUAAAAUUUAAUUCUAGUUACUAAGCAGUGAAACCCAAAUCUCAAAUUCACUUAUAAAUCUAUCAAUUUUAUGUUAAAAUAAAACACUUUUCUUGUUCUUUGCUUAAUCCUCAGUGAACAUAUUACUUUGACAUAUUAAACUUCCCAUUUAAACACUAUAAAUGGAAUAGAAUUUUC